rnacentral:rRNA from 1 species
AUUGCACGCUGGCGGCAGGCCUAACACAUGCAAGUCGAACGAGUGGCGGACGGGUGAGUAAUGCUUGGGAAUCUGGCUUAUGGAGGGGGAUCACGACGGGAAACUGUCGCUAAUACCGCGUACCAUACGAUGAGCCCCAGUGGGAUUAGGUGGUGGGUGGGGUAAGGGCAUACAAAGCCGACGAUCCCUAGCUGGUCUGAGAGGAGGACCAGCCAAACCGGGACUGGGACACGGCACGGACUCCUCCGGGAGGCAUCAGUGGGGAAGAUUGAGCAAUGGGGGCAACCUGAGGCAGCCAUGCCGCGUGAAUGAAGAAGGCCUUCGGGUUGUAAAGUGCUUUCGGUGACGAGGCGUUAAUCACAGAAGAAGCACCGGCUAACUCCGUGCCAGCAGCCGCGGUAAUUC